ACGGAAGGCAGCAGUAGGGAAUCUUCGGCAAUGGGGGCAACCCUGACCGAGCAGCGCCGCGUGAGUGAAGAAGGUUUUCGGAUCGUAAAGCUCUGUUGUAAGAGAAGAACGUGUGUGAGAGUGGAAAGUUCACACAGUGACGGUAACUUACCAGAAAGGGACGGCUAACUACGUGCCAGCAGCCGCGGUAAUACGUAGGUCCCGAGAGUUGUCCGGAUUUAUUGGGCGUAAAGCGAGCGCAGGCGGUUUAAUAAGUCUGAAGUUAAAGGCAGUGUCUUAACCAUUGUUCGCUUUGGAAACUGUUAGGCUUGAGUGCAGAAGGGGAGAGUGGAAUUCCAUGUGUAGCUGUGAAAUGCGUAGAUAUAUGGAGGAACACCGUUGGCGAAAGCGGCUCUCUGGUCUGUAACUGACGCUGAGGCUCGAAAGCGUGGGGAGCAAACAGGAUUAGAUACCCUGGUA
rnacentral:rRNA from 1 species